AGUCACAAAGCCCAAACGAGUGGGUUGGCCUUCUCCGCUUCCCCUCCCUUCGACCGCCUAUAUUCUUCCCGUUCCCGUUCCCCUCCCCUCCGUUUUUCCCAAUCUCCCCGUCCCUCCGACGCCUCCUCUCGAACAUAGGCAGUGCCUCCCGUGGUACGAUUCCUGAAAUUUGAAGCCGAUGACUUCUGAUUGCAAGGUUGGCGCUCGCGUUGGAUCCGUAUCAUCACCUCUGUGGAAGGGUCAUCCAUGCGAUCGUCCGCACGCAGCCGAAUCAACGUAUGCGCCGGCGUUGGUCUGCACCCGGCCAUCCUCAAGCCGGUAACCUCGGACGCACCGCCUUGCUCCGGGCCUUCCUUGUGCUGGCGUCCACGGAUCCACCAGACGCAUUCAUCACCGUGCGAGCUCAAUUCCAGUAGGAUGCUAUGCUCCAUGGCUCUUCAAGUUGGCAGCCUCGACCACGCCUGAUGCGGCCAACCCGGCGAAGCCCAGUGAGCCUGUGCGCGCAUGUUGCUCUGCUCCAUGCCCUCCUGUCGCCGACGACCUCAGGCGUACCUCGACCCUCUCCGCCAAGGCCUCGAUUACAGCGCAUGAUUUUGGGAAGGAGAAGCUCGAUGGCCUCCCCUUGCCUUCUCCACGUCGCUGCGAACGCCCGCAAGCCCCACAGGAGAAAGGCAAAAGCAUCUCUUCUCCUCAUGAUUGACCCGUCACUUCAUGCACUGUUGUAGUUUUCGAUUUAUGCUGGUGCUUUGGAUGAUUAAUCUUCUAUCAUUUUUGAAGGAUUUCUGUGGGAUGUACAGCUCUGAUGAAGAUAGAUAUCAACGCUCUCAGGUGCUUGCUAGCUUCAAGUGUGCAAGGACGGAGACAUACAGACUAUGGCAACAAUGCUUCUGCAGUUUAAGGUCAUGUGCUCAUGUUGUUGUUUAGUUGUUUUUUAAUAUGCAGAUGUACAUGUUGUAACCCAUGUGCAGACAAAUCUUAUGUUGUUUUUCGGAUAAGUAGUCUAACCCAUGUGCAGACAAAUUCUAUGUUGUUUUCCGGAUAAGUAGUCUGACAAUGGAUUAGUGCUUCUUGAUGUGCAACAUAAUCCUAAUUCUGAAAUUCAUAUAUAACCACCUGGCAUUGUUGGUA